rnacentral:rRNA from 1 species
CAACCAGACUCCUACGGGAGGCAGCAGUGGGGAAUAUUGGACAAUGGGGGGAACCCUGAUCCAGCGACGCCGCGUGAGUGAAGAAGUAUUUCGGAAUGUAAAGCUCUAUCAGCAGGGAAGAAAGAAAUGACGGUACCUGACUAAGAAGCCCCGGCUAACUACGUGCCAGCAGCCGCGGUAAUACGUAGGGGGCAAGCGUUAUCCGGAUUUACUGGGUGUAAAGGGAGCGUAGACGGCGAAGAAAGUCUGGAGUGAAAGCCCGCGGCUUAACCGCGGAACUGCUUUGGAAACUUUUUGGCUGGAGUAACGGAGAGGUAAGCGGAAUUCCUAGUGUAGCGGUGAAAUGCGUAGAUAUUAGGAGGAACACCAGUGGCGAAGGCGGCUUACUGGACGGUAACUGACGUUGAGGCUCGAAAGCGUGGGGAGCAAACAGGAUUAGAUACCCCCGUAUAU